rnacentral:rRNA from 1 species
CUACGGGCCGCAGCAGUUAGGAAUAAUCUGCAAUGCGCGCAAGCGUGACAGUUUGAACUGGAGUGAUUGUCCAAUUGGGCAAUCUUUUGUGAAAUGUAAAAAGUUUCACGAAUAAGGACUGGGUAAGACUAGUGCCAGCCGCCGCGGUAAUACUAGCGGUCCAAGUCGCAGCCAUUUUUAUUGGGUCUAAAACAUCCGUAGCUUGCCUGACAAGUUUUUUGUGAAAUCUUAAUUCUCAAAAUUAAGAAGUGCAAAAAAUACUAUCAGGCUAGAGACCGGAAGACGUAAGGAGUACGUUCAAAGUAGCGGUAAAAUGUGUUAAUCUUGAGCGGACUUACAAGAGCGAAGGCACCUUACGAGGACGGUUCUGACAGUAAGGGAUGAAGGCUAGGGGCGCAAAACGGAUUAGAUACCCGUGUAGUC